rnacentral:tRNA from 1 species
AUAUCUUUAGUAUACACCCCUCCAGUACAUCUUCCUUCCAAGAAGAAAGCUUAUAAUUAAAAGAUAUA